GAUGAACGCUGGCGGCGUGCCUAAUACACGCAAGUCGAGCGAACGGACGAGAAGCUUGCUUUUCUGAUGUUAGCGGCGGACGGGUGAGUAACACGUGGAUAACCUACCUAUAAGACUGGGAUAACUUCGGGAAACCGGAGCUAAUACCGGAUAAUAUUUUGAACCGCAUGGUUCAAAAGUGAAAGACGGUCUUGCUGUCACUUAUAGAUGGAUCCGCGCUGCAUUAGCUAGUUGGUAAGGUAACGGCUUACCAAGGCAACGAUGCAUAGCCGACCUGAGGGGGUGAUCGGCCACACUGGAACUGAGACACGGUCCAGACUCCUACGGGAGGCAGCAGUAGGGAAUCUUCCGCAAUGGGCGAAAGCCUGACGGAGCAACGCCGCGUGAGUGAUGAAGGUCUUCGGAUCGUAAAACUCUGUUAUUAGGGAAGAACAUAUGUGUAAGUAACUGUGCACAUCUUGACGGUACCUAAUCAGAAAGCCACGGCUAACUACGUGCCAGCAGCCGCGGUAAUACGUAGGUGGCAAGCGUUAUCCGGAAUUAUUGGGCGUAAAGCGCGCGUAGGCGGUUUUUUAAGUCUGAUGUGAAAGCCCACGGCUCAACCGUGGAGGGUCAUUGGAAACUGGAAAACUUGAGUGCAGAAGAGGAAAGUGGAAUUCCAUGUGUAGCGGUGAAAUGCGCAGAGAUGUGGAGGAACACCAGUGGCGAAGGCGACUUUCUGGUCUGUAACUGACGCUGAUGUGCGAAAGCGUGGGGAUCAAACAGGAUUAGAUACCCUGGUAGUCCACGCCGUAAACGAUGAGUGCUAAGUGUUAGGGGGUUUCCGCCCCUUAGUGCUGCAGCUAACGCAUUAAGCACUCCGCCUGGGGAGUACGACCGCAAGGUUGAAACUCAAAGGAAUUGACGGGGGCCCGCACAAGCGGUGGAGCAUGUGGUUUAAUUCGAAGCAACGCGAAGAACCUUACCAAAUCUUGACAUCCUUUGACAACUCUAGAGAUAGAGCCUUCCCCUUCGGGGGACAAAGUGACAGGUGGUGCAUGGUUGUCGUCAGCUCGUGUCGUGAGAUGUUGGGUUAAGUCCCGCAACGAGCGCAACCCUUAAGCUUAGUUGCCAUCAUUAAGUUGGGCACUCUAAGUUGACUGCCGGUGACAAACCGGAGGAAGGUGGGGAUGACGUCAAAUCAUCAUGCCCCUUAUGAUUUGGGCUACACACGUGCUACAAUGGACAAUACAAAGGGCAGCGAAACCGCGAGGUCAAGCAAAUCCCAUAAAGUUGUUCUCAGUUCGGAUUGUAGUCUGCAACUCGACUACAUGAAGCUGGAAUCGCUAGUAAUCGUAGAUCAGCAUGCUACGGUGAAUACGUUCCCGGGUCU
rnacentral:rRNA from 1 species